CCCAACCACACGCGGUGAAUCGUGCGCGCCUGGCUGCGCGUCACGCGUCUGCGAGGCCGUACGCGCCUGUCCUACGCGUCUAGAGAGGGCAGACGCGCAGGAAACGCGCGCGUCAAGGAGGUCUUGAUCUUGCGCGUCAUUUUGAGCGUAUUUUGAGCGUACGCGACGGAAGUGGCAGCUUGUGCACCGACGUCACGUGAGCAGCAUGUACACUUCCGGCGGUUCGGAAAUGUUGUUGAAGUUUCAGAAUUGUGCGGAGAUGCCGGGAGUCGCCGCUGCUUUCGUGUCGAUAGAGCACAGAGGCUAUGGAGGCGAUCAACAACGAAGCGCUGAUCGCCUGCGUUGAGGCUCGACCUGCGCUUUGGUAGCAGGCGAAACACAAGCGCCACUAGAACAAGCACUUGACGAGGUGGUCGUGGAUCGUCAUGCCCAACGCUGCCGAACAGAUGACGUUAUCACAGCGCUGCAGAAGUGAUGGAAGUCCCUGGGGAAUAAAUUUCGGUGCCUGGGAAGACGUUGUCAGAAAGGAAAGAGCCGCGCCGUGCCAGCUGUCGACGUUCACGUCAUCUGGCUGUUUUUCGACCAGAUGAUGUUUCUGCGCUACACAAUGGAGUGUAGACCGAUGUCCGCCAACCUUCCACCAGUGCCCCCAUCGAGUGAGGAGGGAAGUGCUGCAGACAUCUUAACAAAAAAUGUGCCAGUUUUCCGAUCUGGCAACACUUGAAGCGCCAUCACCGUGAAGUGAAGAGUCACAAGCGCCAGCAUCGACUCUGUCUUCGGCGUCGCAUGAGUCUGUGGAGUCUCAGGACAUUUUGGAAUCUCUUGAAUCACUGAUGUUUCAAGAAGUUCUGGUUCCUGAGGAUUCUGAGGCACACCACAGCAGUCCGCAGUCAGGAGCAUCGCUGGCUUCAGCAGGCAGUCGUAGGCUGGAUAUGUUAGGAAGCAUUGCUUCUGAAGCAAAGUCAAGGGGGAGGAAAAAGAAAAAGAAAGAUUAGAGUCAGUUAAUAUUGGAGGAAUUAGGCAAUGUUUCAAGUGCAAUCAAAAGAUGCAAACCACAGGACGACCUUGAACUUUUGCCGUCUCUCUGCUCAAACACAUUAGAGAGGUCAGUGAGGAUACGCAUCUCGACUUGAAAAUUAAAUUGAUGCAAGUAGGAGAGUAAUUCAAAGAUGAAUGUUUUUUAAUGUAUACUUUUUGUAUAAUAAAGCCAAGAGACAAUGAAACAAAAGGAAAUCAUUGAUGAAUUUAAUUGCUUUAUAUCGAAAUGGAAAAAUAAGGAGGAAAAUGAAAGUAUAUGAAAAGGUAGCUUCCCACUAAUGGGAGACGAACCCACAACCUUUGAAUUAUGCUUGCAUUGCUUUACCAGUAGAGCUGCAGCAAUGGCUAUCCCUCUGCAAAUUUUCUUGGGCCUGUAUGUGCAUGUACUAGAUCUCACCCUGGUAGUGUUAGCCAGUGCUACUCGUGCAAGAACACUCCAAGAGCCUAAUCUGGUACACAUAAACAUUCUAUGAAAUUGAUGGUGGAAUAGCCUCCAGCUCAAUUGGUUUUGGUUUUAGCUUCCACCAGUGGCAAGUUAUAUUUUCUCCACUUUCAUUUCCCUUCUCCUUGUGAUGUUGACAUUACAAAUAAGAUGACAGUUAUUUUCCUUUAUGCUUUAUAUACGUUUCCUUGUCUGUUGUUGUCAUGUCAAAGCCCCUCAGCUCUUCUUUUUUGUUCAUUUUACAUUGUGUUGUAUCCAUAUUUUUGUGCGGUAUUCAAGAAUUUCAUAAAGUUGAUAUCUGUGGGCCUGGUUGGCUGGCCAUUGCUGCUGUAGAGAUGUGUGAACAUGUUUUAGCAACACACCUACGAUAAAAAAGCACUGACUUGCAACUAAAGGUUUGUUGUUGCAAGACAGACGUUUAUCGCUUUCAUCUGUGUUUACUCAUUCAGCCUGUCUUGCAGCAAUGAACCUUUUUGAGUUCACCACCUGUGCAUGUAGAGUUUGUGCAUGCAUGUAGAGAUGCCUGUACAUGCCUGUAAAUAAAAAGAAAUGUAAUGAACCUUCAAGCAGACCCCAUUGAAAAUUUCGGUUAUAUGCUGCAAGUUGUAAAGCCUGUCGGGGCGUUCUAGCAGCGCAAGCAUUUUUCAAAUUGUUUUAUUAUUAUUAGAAGAGGUAGCAGAAAGGGAAAAGUCUUGCCACCACAUAGCCAGGAGGCGAGGUUCACUGCCAACAUAGACAACCUCUACCUCUCCCACAACUAUAUCAUCCACAAGCCACAUUCCUUGCAUUUUUUUUUCUUUGUGUUCUGUGGCUCAGUUUCAGAGUUGGUUUUGCAUGUUCUGCAUUGGAUGUUUGGCCAAAGUCUUUGUACGUAAUCAGUGACAUUGAAGGCAGCGUGUAAAUGACACUUAUACGUAUGACCCUGCUUCUCUGGCAGGAAGCAGGGCUACCUGACGGGAGCCGUGAACAACAUGUGAGCUUUAAAAAAUUGCUUAAGCUGCAAAAAAUGUAAGAGAUUUAUGCGGCUGUCAUGCUGUUCUGCAGUUGUUUAAUACUUUGCAGGCACGAUUGCCACUAUAUGACUUACACACCACUGCAGAGUCUAGCCGCCUCCAUCCCCACACAGUAAGUCAAGGCAACAUCUUUUAUGUCUUACCGGGAUGCCAAGUAGCUUGAAUGCAAGUUGAAAAAAAAAAAUUAGUACGCAUGUCUUGAUUGUUUGAAUACUAAUUAUGAUGACAUGAUUUUUCUUGACAAUGAUCUACAUGGCUGUAGGGGCCCUUUUCGGGUGACAUACGAUCAAAAUUCAUUUGUGUAGGUUAGCUACCACCUUUGUUUAAUACUACAUGUGCAAGCAUACCUCAGUGCAUGUUUUACAGGUUACGCAAGGUCAAAAGCACUGAGGUAGCUUUUGUGCGAUGCCAGUCGAUGGCAGUUUUUUUUAGAGUUAGCCGUAACUGUUACACUGGUGAUGCAGUAAGUGGAAACUUUCAGUCUCUGUGAUCAUGCGAUCAUUUUUUUCUUGUAUUUCUUUUCACGCACAUUGUCAGUACCAUCGUUACUAUUUCUCGUUUUGUAUCAGCAUUUCGUGUCCCAUUUAUUUAUUUGUUUAUGAGUUAAUAAAUGGUUAGUUGUGUAUAAUUCUGUAUUCUGUGGAAAGAGAGAAAUAAAGAUGAUUAUUAAUAUAUUA